rnacentral:rRNA from 1 species
AUUGAACGCUGGCGGCAUGCCUUACACAUGCAAGUCGAACGGCAGCACGGGAGCAAUCCUGGUGGCGAGUGGCGAACGGGUGAGUAAUAUAUCGGAACGUGCCCAGUCGUGGAGGAUAACGCAGCGAAAGCUGUGCUACUACCGCAUACGAUCUACGGAUGAAAGCGGGGGAUCGCAAGACUUCGCGCGAUUGGAGCGGCCGAUAUCAGAUUAGCUAGUUGGUGAGGUAAAGGCUCCCCAAGGCGACGAUCUGUAGCUGGUCUGAGAGGCAGACCAGCCACAAUGGAACUGAGACACGGUCCAGACUCCUACGGGAGGCAGCAGUGGGGAAUUUUGGACAAUGGGCGCAAGCCUGAUCCAGCAAUGCCGCGUGCAGGAUGAAGGCCUUCGGGUUGUAAACUGCUUUUGUACGGAACGAAACGGCGAGCUCUAAUACAGUUUGCUAAUGACGGUACCGUAAGAAUAAGCACCGGCUAACUACGUGCCAGCCGCCGCCGUAAGAC